UUAUAAUAUUUUAAUAUUAUAAUAUUUUAGUUAACUUUGAAAUGAAUAAAGACACAUUUUUAAGUACGUUAAUAUUAGUCAAUGACAGUAGUCCUUUCAUUUUUGCUUCACUCGGAUAUUUCACAUAGUACUCUGGAAUAUGCUGAAUUCUGAUAUUUUUUACUAAUAUAGAAUUGCAUUCAAAUAAAUAAUGGUAUUCAUUGCCAAUUGCAGUUAAACACAAAUUACAUGUCCUCUCUUCUUUUGGAAUGUUAUACCAUCUUCCCAGCUCUACUGGAAUUUUUACAUUGCAGCAUCUUAAUUUUGAAAUAUAUUUACGUUCGAAUGGUGUUAAUUUUAAAAGAUAGUUUUCUAAGCCAAAGAUUGUUUUAAAAAGUCCAUAAAAUUCUCCUCUGGAUGAGUUGUCAAUUUGACUAUGCCAUUGUUGAAUGAAUGAAUCUUUUAGUUUUUCUGUCAGUACGAUUUUUAGUUGAUUUAUAUCUAAUGGUGAUUGCUGAGUCCAAACAUAGCUUAGUCCGGCAUUGUCUAGGAUCGAUUUAAUAUAAUCCAUCCAUUUGAAAGUGUGAUCAUCUUUUAAGUUGAACAUAAUUUGAUAAAGUAUACUGCUAAGUUUAUUUUCAUUGGUGAGAAGUUUGUUCCAAAAACACACCAUUCUACAUUUUAUUACGGUAUCUAUUGGUGUACGACCAAGUUCUCCAUAUGUCAUAAAAUUUGGUGUCGACGAUCUAAUUUUCAACACAUUCCGGCAAAACUGUAGAUGGAUUUUUUCCAACAUGUAAUUGUUUCCGAAUCCCCAUAUUUCACAUCCAUAUGUCAGAAUUGGAAGUACAAGUG
rnacentral:lncRNA from 1 species